rnacentral:tRNA from 1 species
GUGGUUGUGGCUCAGUGGUAGAGCGUUUGCCUAGCAUGUGUAGGGCACUGGGUUCGAUUCUUACAACCACA